rnacentral:SRP_RNA from 1 species
UGUUAGUCUCAGACACUGUUAAUUUAAAUAAUUAGUCAGGUCUGGAAAGAAGCAGCUACAUUAAAUGAUACAGGUGUUUUGAACAAGCUAACAGAA